UGUGGGGCGGCUGGACGCCGAGGCGUGGGGAGCAAGCCUGCUGACUCGCUUCUGGGUGAGGCCUGCGGGCCAGGUGGGCCGCAAAGUCCGACUUAGACCAUGGAAAACGCGGAAGCUGUGAGAAAUCAGCGCCACUCGAGGUGCUCCACAUUAACAGGUCCUCCAGCUAACAGGUGGUUGUGUGGUUUCUUGGAGCUCAAAUGAAAUCCAAAUGAGCUUUUCUGAAGGGGAGCAUGUCUCAAAGUUAAGACCUCUGAUCUUCCCGACAUCCUUCCGGACUUUUGUGCAACAGAAAAGAGCAAGUAGAAAAAUCUAGACCUAAUUGCUAAGUAAAAUGUGGCAAGGCCUUACAAUACAGAGCACAGUGAAGUGUUACAACAGCCUGUAGAUCAGAACAGAACAGAAAGGAAUCUCCAAAAUGCAGGACUGAAAUAUAUUGCUUUACAGCCAGAGUUUAAGAAUAACCAGACAAUCUUGAAAACCUCAACAUCACACAAUCUUGAAAACCAUCAACACUCCUCAAACUGCCUGGUGCUGAAUUGCAUCCCAGUUUUUGAAUGUAAAAAUAUGUAGUCAAAGUAAGUUAAGCAUUAUUUGGAUGAAGAAGUACUUAAGGAAAAAAAAAAUGUGUUAAGGUUAAUUGAAUGCUAAUCUUCCAUUCACAUUUCUUUGACAUCCAGACACAUGGGUAAAUGAGGCACAGACAAGAUCCAACAGAAACUACAUAAGUCAGUUGAACUAUGUACAAGAUUUUCCCAAAAGCAUUCCACAGGAGUGAAGAACAGCAGAAUGGGAACCUUGAAUUGUUGCUUCAGACUGUUGGCAGCUUCACAAUAGUUGACCCACUUGUGUCUUAAGCAGGAGUUAACUUAUCAAAUAUACAAUAUGCAUGCAAACCUGUACAUGCUGCAGCUAUAUCUUCAUAUUCUUCGAAUUACUCGUUUUAUAUACAUCCUUAAUGCAGCAAGCAGCAGUUAAACAUGCAAACCUCCAUAAUAACAGCAUAAAGCAACCUCAAUAUAGAUGCUUCCACUGAAGCAAAAAGGCAAACACACCUUGAUUCAAGUGAUAAGCAGCUUAGUGCAGUGUUUUGUAUGUAAAAUGAAAGGGAAUUUUAUCAUGGUGGGUUGCUGGGUUGUUUUGGUUUUUUUUUUCAGUAUUAAUAUUUUCUUUAAAAAUAAGAAAUCCCAAAAUAUGUUAUCCUUUAAGACCAGAAUCUAUGGAGUGCAUGGGC